GUGGCAAGGGGGGCUCUGUAGGUCCCUACAUUUAUUGCCACUCUUUUAACUUUGUCAACUGAGUUGAUUCACUUGCAGUUGAUUUUCGUGGGUGGUAGAUGG